rnacentral:lncRNA from 1 species
AUUAUUAAUAUAAAAUAUUUUUAAUAAUGUAUUAUACUAUUACUUUAAAUUUAUUAAAACAAGCUAUUUAAAUUAACUUGUAUCAUGGCUUAGCCAACUCCAUCCAUGAUGUAAAAAUAUUUGAAGUUUAAAAAAAAAAAAAAAAACUCUUUCCUCCUAAUAACAAGGUGAGCAGAGAGUUUUGGAUGAUAUACCUACUAUUCUUAAAUUGUUGCUGAAAUGUGAAAUAGUUAAUUCUUUCCUGAUUUAGUUUAUUUUAUACCUAUCAUACAAGUGUUUAGCAUCUUUUAAAAUUCAAAAAUAUUUUUUUCUCUCAAAAAUCGCACAAUGUUUUACUCUGAAAUUAAAUUAGAAAAAGAAUAAAAAAAUCAAACAUAAAAAAGAAAAAAAAAACCCAAAGACGACAUAUAAUUACCUUCAAUAUGUAUCGGCCCUUUUAAAUUGUUGAAACUUAAAUACAAAGACUUCAAAUUUGAGAGCGGAGAAAGGGAUGAAAAUACGCUGCUAUUCAAUAGAUUUUCACUUAUACCAAGCACUUCAAGUUUGUUCAAUCUCAACUGUUCUUUAUCUGAAAAAAGAUAAUGUAAUAAUUCAAUUAUGCAUGUAUAUAUAUAUAUAAUGAAUAAAGUAAAGUAAAUACCGUAGGAAGAAAAUCCAAGGCUCUCAAUUUGAUUUGAGCCUAAGUACAACUCCUUCAAGUUGAUAAAACUAUUGAAUUCUGUCCACAUCCAAUUAAAAUGUAUUAGUCAAUUAAAUUAUUUAAAAAGCAUCUAAUCAAGAAGCAUGAGAUUAGAAAAGAAAGCAUGCCUAGCAUAUCAAUACUUCCCACCAAUCCACAAUCCUGCAAUCUCAAUGAUUUUAAAGAGCUAAAAUCAUUUAGUUGGGAUGAAAUGUUUGCUAUAUAAUUGUGGUGAGAUAAAUCCAAAAUCUCCAAAUUCUUCAAUUUUGAUAACCUCUUUAAACCUGCUAUCAAUGAUUUUAAACAACGUUAGUAAUUGUAAUAAGUGAUAAAUUUUCUUUAAACUUAGGCUUAGAUGUUUCGUAUAUAUAAUUAAAUAAUAAUUUUACCGUCAAUAGGAUUUGAUCCUAUGAAAUUGUUGCCUGCUAGAUUCAAAGACUUGAGCGAUGAAAGUUUACUUAAGGAUGUUAAAAUGCUAUCGUUGAAAUAAUUGUCACUUAAGUCGAGGAUUUCUAACUUAUUCAAUUUCGAUGAUAGUUUUUCAAAACCUACAAGAAAUAAGGAAUUAGACUAAAUUUAGAUAAACAAAUGAUUGAAACGUGUGUGUGUCAAAACUUAUUAUUGAAAGUGAAUGAACCUUGGUUGUCCACAAAACCAACAAUGGAAUUCCCACUCAAAAAAAGACUUUGCAAUUCCUCAAAAGGAAGAAACAAAGAAGUGUUGAGAUACCAAUAUUCGUUGUUUCCUGUUCUUCUGUCAUAUGAGUCAUAUGAAUAAACUAAAUCAUAGGAGGUUGGAGGAGUGUACGUAAGAUUAAGGAAAAGAUGGGUGACACGUCCAGUGAUUGAGCUACACUCAAUAUUUUCCCAUUCACAACAAUCUGAUGAAGUCUCUUUUUCUUCGAUAAUUGGGUCGGACAUUAAACCAUCAAUUCUAGAAUCAAUGGAAGGAAAGAAAGGUUUGAGUUGGAAGAGAGCUAACCUUUCUUCCUCCAAGCACCCCUCAUUACGCCACCCUUCUCCUAACAUUAUUAACGCUACCACUACCAUCUUCAACCAUUUCCAGUACUCCAUCUGCUCACUUAAAAAGAUGCUAUAAUUAAUCACUCUUGGUGCUUUUGUAGCCAAAACUGCAAACUUGGGCCUUUAUAUACUACAAAUGAAGGAACCACCCCUCGUGUUUCCAUGAAAUUUACAAAUAAUUGAGGGUUCACAUUUCAUUGCUUAGAUAGAAAACAUACUUUUUCUUUUCUUUUCCUCGUUAUUAAUAUUUUCCUAGCAUCAUCAUAUAUUUCCUCUCUUUUCAUUUCAAUAUAACUAAAAUGUUAAUAAAAAGACUUUUGUUUCUUAAGUUUUGUGGCUGAUUUGUUGAUAAUAUUUUCCGCAACAAAAUUUGAUUUUCUUGUUUCUUCAUUCAUUAGACUUAACAAAAAGAAUUGAAUGACUUUAGUUUAAUUUAAGUUAUAAAAAUUAACGAGUAGUUUGGCUUGAUAAUGUAAGGAAAAAUAUUGGAUGUAAAAUCUUAAUUACCAUAAUUAAUGUCUUAAAAGUAGUGGUUGAUGUAUUUACACAUUUGUCUGUAUUAUUAGUUAAAUGAUGGCGUACCAAUCAUGAAUUUAAUCCCACUCUUGCCCUUGCCAAAUUUUAAUAACUUCCUCAUUGAUGUUUUACUGAAAGAAAGAAAAGUUGUGAAUAUGAUAUCAUGAAAUUUAAUGUUUUUUAUUCAAAGAAUUGUAUACAGUAAAAUUUGAGUUGAUGAAUAUUUGUAAACUGUAAACUUGAUUCUCAUGAAGUUCCGUUUGGAAGGGGAGAACAUAGACUUUUGUUUUGGGAUUGAUGAUAUAAAGAUGCAAGCUAGCAAGAAUUAAUGGUUGGAUGUUGUUGCCCCAGCAUUACGCCUACUUCUGGAGAAGACUUUGGAUUAAUGAGAAGACUUUGAAUUGAUUUCCAUUGAUAGAUGGAAUUAUUGAGGAGACUUUGACUUUGCUUAUACCCAUACCCAUACCCAUACGGCAUAAGUAAUAUCUCUUUAUGGAUUUGAUGCCUUUUUAUCAUGCUUUUUAGUUUCCUUUAAAAAUGGUUGAUAUGACUUAUUUUCAGAAUUCUAUGAUUUUUUAUAAAAAAAAAUUAAAAUUUUAUUUAGUUAUUAAAAUUUCUAAAAAGUAUAGUUUCAGAAAGAAAAUGUUCUGAAUUGUUUAUAAUUUUGUUAAAAAUAAAUUUGAUAUCUCUUUGACUGGUGUUGUACUUAAAGAAAAGUAGUGUAUACUAUAAAUUCCCACCGAUGAAUAUUUAUAAAUUGGAUUAAAAUGGAAGGAUGAAAUCCACUUGAUUCUCAUAAAAUUAACAUUUUCUUUCAUUAAAUUUUGAAGCAUUGAAGUAGAUAUUACUAUAUGAUUACUUUAAACAGUGAUUUUAAUCCACUGUUUGCAAAAUCAUUAAAAUAUUUGUCAAUAUAUAUAAAUAAUAACUUUUAAAAAAAUAAAUAUAUUCAUAUUUAAUAUUUUAAAUUCAUUCGAUAGAAGUGAUAUGCAGCUUGCCCAUGAAGUUUCCUUUGGAAAGUGAGAAUGUAGACAUUUGAAUUGAUAGAAUGAAAGUGUUGAAACCUUGACUUUGGUGCACACUACAGCCAUUAGAUGGAUAAUUCCUACUUCUAAUCAUAAUUCUGGGUGUUUAAAUUCAUGCCAUCCUAGUUGUCAAUACUUAUUUUUUUAAUUUUAGAAUUUUAUUUAAUUAACAUUCUAAUUACUUUUCUAAAUUUUUAAGGUCCUUUUAUCACUAAAUUUAUUGAUUUUACCAUUAAAUGAGACAUUAAAUCUUGCAUGAUAUAUCUUAAAAUGAAAAUUUUAAAGAAAAAUAAAUGUUGUAAAAAUCUUGGUUUUGAGGUUUUCAAAAUUUUUACGGAAGCUUUAGCUCUUAUUCCAAUUUUACUUUAUUUUUUUUAGUUUUAAUUUUAGAAGUUAUAUGGCAAUGUUUUAUUUUUUAUUUAAAAUUGUUAUUUAAAAUUAUGUUACAUAAGAUUCAACAUGUCAUUUAAUGGUUUAACGGUUCAUUUAUUGGUGUCAAUAAUAGAAGAACCUAAUUGAUAGUUUAGGUAUGUAAUUAUAACAUUUUGAAAUUUUGAUACUAAUUUAGAAUGAUAAUCAUAGUUGAGGAUGUUGAAUGCAAUUAACCCUAUACUUUUUGGUGUUGGUGUCACAGUUUGAUAGAUGGAAUUAUGGACGAGACUUUGACUCUGCUUAUAGCCGUAGCCAUAGGGCAUAAAUUUCCCUGUCAAAAUUAACAUAUGUAUUUUAAUUGAUUCAGUAGUAGGACCACUAGUGAAGCCAACCACUGAAUAGUGAUCUUUUUAGAUAAGAUGCUUACCGUGUUUUUCUGUUCUUGCUCCACGAAUGGUUUAUGUUCUUCCGACAUCAAAAUAAUUUUAUUACUGUACUAACAUAUUAUUUUAUAAUUUUUAAAGACUUUCAUCAUUAUAUUAACAUAUUAUUUUAUUAUUUUCAAAAAGAUUAUAAAGAAUUUUAUCAUUUUAAGGGGAUAAAGUGCAACUUAACCACUAUAUUAAUUUAAAAUUUUUAAAGGGACUAAAAUGAAAAUGUUCUUUGAGGUCCUAUCCUAAAAUUGUUUUAGAAAGCUAGAGGUAAAUCAUAAAUUAAUUAUUGGAGGUAAAGCAUACUAACAUAUUAUUUUAUAAAAACUUAAGGGACUAAAUGGCUGCUUACGGAGUGUAAAACUUUUACGGCAUAUCUAGAGACACAGUCGAUACAUUUUUCUUCGAUAUACAUUUAUUUACAUAAUUAGACUUCUCAAAAAAAUUGAAAGGAGUAAAAAAAAAAUUCACUUUCGAAUUAACUCAAAUUGCUAUAAAAAUCUCAUUAUAAAAAUAAUGUUAUAAAUAAUAGUACACCUUUUCGUAAAAUGCUAUAACAAUAUAUAUGGUUACUUUAAACAGUGGUUUUAAUUCACUUUUAGCAAAAUUAUUAAAAUAUUUGUGCACCAUAUAUAUGAAAUCUGGUCCUUGAAAUAUAUAAAAUUAAAUAUCUCUAUUAAAAAAAAUAUAUGUAGAGAUCUCUAUAAAGUUUGGUUUGAAAUAGGAAGCCUAUAUACUUUUUAUUUUGAUAGAUGGAAUUUUAUAGAGGAGACCCUGUAAGUCUUAGGAGUGAAGUUUAAAAACAUUAUAACUUAUUGAUUCGAUAACGAGAGUUAUUAAAUUUAAAUCCUCCUAAAACAAAGUCUUCAAUGAUGGGAAUAAAAAGUAAAAAAUAAAUGGUGAAUAGAUUAAUUUAUGUCAUAUUAUUUUUUUAUAUUCUUUUACAAAUGUUUUAAUAUCAAUUAGAUUUUUUUAUUAUCACUAUAUUUUAAUCAUCAAAAUAAUAAACAUAUGUUAAUUAGCUAUUAUUUUGAAUAAUGUUUUUUUGUAAAUUACAUGGUGUAUUGAUUAAAUUAAAAAAACUUUAAUUAUGAUUUCAAAAUUAUUUGUAUAAUAUUUAAUUUUUAAAUAAGUUAAUAUAUUUUAAUUAUAUUCAACAGUUUUGUAUAAGAAAUAUUAUUUUACAAUAAUUAAAAAUAUAAUAUUAAAAAAACUAACUAAAAAUUAAAUAUCUAAAAUCACAUUCAACAUAUGUGCCAUUAGAAACCAGUAUUUAUGCAAAUUAAUCUUAAGCAUUAAGAUAGGUAAAAAAAAUAGUAACUUACUGAUUUGGGAAUGGGAGUCAAUUAAAUUAACUCCGCCCAAGAAAAGAGUCUUCAAUGAUGAGAAUAAAUCCAAUGAUUGUAGUUGAAGAUUGCAACCUGAGCCUAUCAAAUAGUAUAUUUAUAUUUAUUUUAUUUCUUUGGAAUAUAUCAAAUUAAUCAAACUAACAAGUAAUUAGUACAUUUAAAUUAAAUUUGGAAUUAGUACCAAUAUUUGAAUCGCAUCUCAUAUCGAGGUCCUCCAAAUUGCUCAAGCCAUCUAAUUCUGAGGAGAAUCAAAAAUUGAAAAGUAAAUACUUUAUUAAUAUAUGUAGACGUCAUUGAAUAAGGAGAAAGAGGAUGAUAUUCAACAGUUUUGUAUAAGAAAUAUUAUUUUACAAUAAUUAAAAAUAUAAUAUUAAAAAAAAACUAAAAAUUAAAUGUCUAAAAUCACAUUCAACAUAUGUGCCAUUAGAAACCAGUAUUUAUAUAAAUUAAUAUUAAGAAUUAAGAUACGUAAAAAAAAUAGUAACUUACUGAUUUGGGAAUGAGAGUCAAUUAAAUUAACUCCUCUCAAGAAAAGAGUCUUCAAUGAUGAGAAUAAAUCUAAUGAUUGUAGUUGAAGAUUGCAACCUGAGCCUAUCAAAUAGUAUAUUUAUAUUUACUUUAUUUCUUUGGAAUAUAUCAAAUUAAUCAAACUAACAAGUAAUUAGUACAUUUAAAUUAAAUUUGGAAUUAGUACCAAUAUUUGAAUCGCAGCUCAUAUGGAGGUCCUCCAAAUUGCUCAAGCCAUCUAAUUCUGAGGAGAAUCAAAAAUUGAAAAGUAAAUACUUUAUUAAUAUAUGUAGACGUCAUUGAAUAAGGAGAAAGAGGAUGAUAUUCAACAGUUUUGUAUAAGAAAUAUUAUUUUACAAUAAUUAAAAAUAUAAUAUUAAAAAAAUAACUAAAAAUUAAAUGUCUAAAAUCACAUUCAACAUAUGUGCCGUUAGAAACCAGUAUUUAUGUAAAUUAAUAUUAAGAAUUAAGAUACGUAAAAAAAAUAGUAACUUACUGAUUUGAGAAUGAGAAUCAAUUAAAUUAACUCCGUCCAAGGAAAGAGUCUUCAAUGAUGAGAAUAAAUCCAAUGAUUGUAGUUGAAGAUUGCAACCUGAGCCUAUCAAAUAGUAUACUUAUAUUUACUUUAUUUCUUUGGAAUAUAUCAAAUUAAUCAAACUAACAAGUAAUUAGUACAUUUAAAUUAAAUUUGGAAUUAGCCACAAUUUUAUUUUAGUAGUACCAAUUGAAUCGCAGCUCAUAUCGAGGUCCUCCAAAUUGCUCAAGCCAUCUAAUUAUGAGGAGAAUCAAAAAUUGAAAAGUAAAUACUUUAUUAAUAUAUGUAGACGUCAUUGAAUAAGGAGAAAGAGGAUGAUAAUUUUACCUUUAAUAUCUAUUGUUCCUUCCAAAUUGGAGCCUCCUAAAGACAAAGUCUUUAGAUUUGAGAGUGUUCCGAGAGAUGACAAUAUGGUAUUGUUGAAGAGAUUGCCAUACAAACGAAGCACUGUCAAAUUCAUCAACCUUAAACCUGCCUCAUUAUUACCAAGUAGCAUGCUCUUAAUUAUUUCACUUCCCAUUUAAUUAUACUUAAAUUACUUAAAAUGAAUAGUAAAAUAACCUAAAAAAUAACUAUUUAUGUAAAUAAUAUUGGUUAAAAAAUAACUACUUAAAUGAAUUGAAAUGAACAGUAAAAUUGAGUUAUAGAGAGUAAAUGACUGGCACCAACUUUUUUUCUAACACAAACAUUGUGUCAGAGAUUAAAAAUAAUAAUUUCUAAGGUUUCAGACACUAGAUGGAUGAUACCCAUGUAUUUUUCCCAAUCCGUAUCAUAUUGGUAAUAUAUACCAGUAUUUUAAAAAAUAGUUAUGGUGCUGACACAUUGAUAACCGUCACCCACUACAUCUGAUUAAAAAAAAAUUUUGGGUGUUGAUACACUGAUGGUCGAUACCCUUUUUACCUGAUUAAAAUUUUUUUGGACGUUAGAACACUGAUGGUCGGCACCCCCUUUAUCUGAUUAAAAAAAAUUGGGUGCUAGGAUUCUGAUGGCCAGAUAAAGGGGGUCACAACACCAAUUUUUUUUAAUCAGAUAAAUGGAUGUUGACCAUCAGUGUUUCAACACCCCAAAAAAAUCUUUUUAACCAAAUAAAGGAGGUGUCGGCCAUCAGUGUCCCAACACCUCAAUUUUUUUUAAAUCUAGUGCAGAAGUGCCAACCAUCAAUGUCCCAACACCUCAAAAAAAAAAAUUAUCUAAUAAAUUGGUGUCGACCAUUAGUACCAACACUCUAAUUUUUUUAAAUAUUGGUAUAAACGUAUACUAGUAUGACAUGAAUUGGAAAAAAAUACAUAAAUGUCGGCUAUCUAGUGUUCAAAACCCCAAAAAUUAUUUUUUAAUCCCUUACACAAUCAUCCGCCAAUAAUUGUGUUAGAAAAAAAAGUGGUGCUGAUCAUCUACUCCCCAUAAUGCAAUUAUGUAACAUAACCCUACUUCUGCUAAACUGUUUUGACUUUGAGUCGAGACCUACCUCUUUUAAGUAACUCUAAUUAAGGGUAUGUUAGAAUAGAUUAGAGGCAAAAGAUUAUAUAUAAUAUUUUAUUUAGUGAGUAUUUUAUUAUUAUUUAAGAUAAUAAUUUGUGAACCUAAAUUCUCCUGCAUAAUUUAUUAUCAUGUAGCUCAUAGAAUGGAUUAAACUAAUAGAGUGAAUUUUUUUUAAAAUAAAUUAGUAGGGUGAAUAUAUCCCUUGAAAAAAUUACAAAUAAAUUAGAAAUUUAAGUGUAAAAAAUGAAAUUACUUUAUUAAUCCAUUAAUAACACCAGCUUUGAGGCUAAAAUAUAACCGAAAUCAUUUUGGUCCCAUUUUUGUUUUAUUUAUUUGCGAAAUUGCCCCAAAUUUCUGUUUUAAGUUUAAAUUAGUCAUUUUUGUCAUUUUUUCUAUUAAAUUAGUUAAUUUCAAUAGUAUUAUUAUUAUUAUUAUUAUUAUUAUUAUUAUUAUUACAUAAAUACAUGCAUAUUUUUUUAUAAUAUAUAUGUGUAUUUUUUUAAAACUUUUGUAAAUACAUGUACAUAUUUUGUAUAUAUAUAUUAUUUUAUUUUCAUAACUUUUAUAUGCAUGUAUAUAUAUAUAUACAUUUACAUUUUAUAAUACAUAUACAUCUUCUAUAUUUUAUAAUCAAUACAAGUAUACAUGCAUCUUCUAUAUUAUAUAUAUAUGCGUACUUUUUUUUAAAAAAAUUUAUUAUAAAUAUAUAUUUCAUUCAUUUUUUAUAUAUAUGUAUACUUAUAUAUACAUAUUUUGUAUAUACAUAUACAUAUAUAAUUUAUAUUAAAGUAUUUGUUUCAUGUUCUAUAUUAACAUUUUAUCACAUUUUUAAGGAAAAUAUAUUUGGAUUCAUCAAAGCAUUAAAACCGUUUUUUUUUUUGUUCAAAGGCUUUUAAGAUAAUGCAAUAUUCGGUAUUUGGGAUAUUCGAGAGGAUUGAGCCCUAACGUAUUGGGUUCCAAUUUUCCUUGUUAAACCUAAAAUUUUCGAGAAUUCAACAUGUUGUGUCCUAACGUAUUGGGCAUGACAUAUUGUUUUCUUAAGAUGAAGAUUUUCCUAUGAAAAAGCAAUAUUCAAAGUUUGAGGAUUUUGAGAAAUUGUACUCUAACGUAUUGGGUCUCGAUUUCUUCGUCUGACUUAAACAAUUGAAUAUCAUUUUAAAUUUCAUCGCUUGAGUUUUUUUUAAGAUCUUUUCAAACCUUUGACACCAAGACAUUAAACAAUCAAUUCGUUACCAAUUUUGGGUGUUACGAGGGUGCUAACCCUUCCUCAUGCAUAACUGACUCCCGAACCUGUUUUCUCAAAUUUCGCAAACCAAAAUUGUUUUUAAUGUGAGCCGAUCACACCUCAAUAAAGGAUCGGUGGCGACUCCAAUUUUUGUUUUUAAAGUCAACAACUAAUUUUUGUUUUCAAAAAAAUGGUUUCAACACAUAUCAUUCUCUUGCCGUUUUUUCAUAGGCAUAUAUCAUUCAUUUCAGAUCAAUACCAAUAAUAAUUCAUUUCUCAAUAUUUACAAUUUUUAUUUCGUUUUCGUUUGGUAACAUCAUAUACUAUUACAUUAAGCCUUUAUUUAUCUCAUGAACAAUUAGUUCAUGCUUUCUAUUCACAUUUUCAUAUUCAAUUCACAUUUUCAAAAUUCAGUUCAAUACUAACAUAUAUACAUAUAUUAUUCAUCACCAAAUAACAUUCACUUUAAUCAAAAUUGUACAGAAUAUAGUUCAUACGAACUUGCCAGGCUAAUUUGCAGAAAUACUGUAACUAUGUAUCAACUUAUCAACAUGAGUUAAUUCAUAACCAUUAAUGACAUUUCUUCAUGCCAAAUCAUAUACCAAACAUACCACACACACAUAUGCUAUGAAACUUUAUUUCCCCACAUGAGCUUAAACCAUGACCAAUAAUGCACAAAUAUAAGCAUCAUUUCUAUUUCAACGUUUGUCGAUUAUAAUCGAACAUAUGACCAAUUAUACACAAUUCAUUCAUAUAUUUAUCCAAUUUUCCUCCUCCUCCUCUCGAUUCCAUAUCCUUAAUGUAUAUAACAUGCUUAAACAAAAGUAACUAUAUUUUCACUUUUUUACUUAUAUUUAAAUUCAAAGUUGUCUAUCCAAGUUAGAGUCACUAAAUUAUUUAUAUCUUAAGCUACGGAGCUCCAAAUUAAUUCGUUAAUUUUCCCAUAAACUAGACUCAUAUAUCUUCUUACCAUAAAAUUUUUAGAAUUUUUGACUUAGCCAAUUUUGACUUAGCCAAUAAGUACAGUUUAUUCUUUAAAGUAUCUCCUAUUUCACUGUUUGGCAGUUCUAACCUCCCUUCACUAAAAAUUAAUUAUCUCAUUAUACAGAGUUUGGAUGACGUUCUUAUUUGUUUCUCUUGAAAAUAGACUCAUAAAAUAUAACUCAUAAUUAUUUUUUUACAAUUUUUAAUGAUUUUCCGAAGUCAAAAUAGGGGAUUUAAAAAUCAUCCUAACCCUGUCUCACUAAAAUUUAAAUAUCUCAAAAUAUAUAACUCUUUUGCAUACUCUAUUUCUUUUAUGUGAAAAUAGACUCAUUUAGCUUUAAUUUCAUAUAUUAUUCAGCCUUUAAUUCAAUUUCCACAAUUUUUUGUGAUUUUUCAAAUUCAUACAACUGUUGCUAUCUAAAACUGUUUUGUUGCUAAAUUUACUCUUUCACAAUUUCACUUAUUCCAUUUCAUCUUACCAAUGGUUUGAUCAAAUAUCGAGCACAUUGUUCAUAAAUUUUCACACUUAUACCUACACUCAUUUAUCACAUAGUCACAUUCAAUUAUACUUAGUUGUUACAUGAUCUCAUGUAUUUUCACUUGGACAAUUUCCCGAUGAAUAUUUCGGAAUAAUAACAGAUACACGGUGGAUCAGCACAUAGCACCACCCUUAUAGUCAAUGAUACUCGGUGGAAUCAACACAUAGCAACCACCUUUAUAAUCAAUGGUAUGUAAUUAUAACAUUUUGGAAUUUAAAGACUAAUUUAGAAUGAUAAUUUUUUUAAAAAUAAAUAUAUUCAUAUUUAAUAUUUUAAAUCCAUUCGAUAGAAGUGAUGUGCAGCUUGCCCAUGAAGUUUCCUUUGGAAAGUGAGAAUGUAGACAUUUGAAUUGAUAGAAUGAAAGUGUUGAAACCUUGACAUUGGUGCACAGCCAUUAGAUGUGCCAUCCUAGUUGUCAAUUAAACUAAGGUUGAAUUAAAAGUUUUUGGUAUGUUAUUGAAGAAUAGUUUACAAUAUUUAUUACACUUAUUUUUUUAAUUUUAGAAUUUUAUUUAAUUAACAUUCCUAUUACUUUUCUAAAUUUUUAAGGUCCUUUUAUCACUAAAUUUAUUGAUUUUACCAUUUCUAAAUUGUUGUUUUAAAUUAUGUUACAUAAUAUUCAACAUGUCAUUUAACGGUUUAAUGGUUCAUUUACUGGUGUCAAUAAUAGAAGAACCUAAUUGACAGUUUAGGUAUGUAAUUAUAACAUUUUGAAAUUUAGAGACUAAUUUAAAAUGAUAAUCAUAGUUGAGGAUGUUGAAUGCAAUUAACCCUAUACUUUUUAGAUGUUGUCAUUUUAUUUUGUUUUGGCAUUGGUGUCAUAGUUUGAUAGAUGGAAUUAUCGACGAGACUUUGACUCUGCUUAUAGCCGUAGCCAUAGGGCAUAAAUUUCCCUGCCAAAAAUUUCCAUAUAUACAUAUAUUAGUGAAGGAAAAUAAGAGAAAGUGAUGGGAAAUAUUAUAGAGAAAGGGAAUAAGAGUGUUAUAAAUUUAGUAUUCAAUAUUUUGCACUAAAAUAGUUUUGGACAGCAGCAGUAGGUUAAUUUGAAAAAUCACCAUAAAUUGUGAAAAUCGAAUUAGAGGAUGAAUAAAACAUUAAAUUAAAUCUUAUUGAGUCUAGUUUCUCAUAUAAGAAACAGUGUAAGCAAUGGAAUUGUAAAUCAUGAGAUAUAAUAAAUUUUGUGAGACAAGGUCAGAAUGAAUUCUGGUUCCCCUGUUUUGACUUUGGAAAAUAAUAAAAAAUUGAAUAAAAAUAAUUAGGGGCAUAAAUUUAUAGUUUUAAAAUUAUGUAUAAGUCUAUGUUCAAGAGAAAUAAAUGGGAAUAUCAUCCGAAUCCCGUACGAGGAGAUAAUUAAUUUUUAGUGAAGAAGGGUCGAAACUGUCAGACAGCAGAACAUGGGUGACUUUAAAGAAUAAACUGUAGUUAUUGGCUAAACCAAAAAUUCUGAAAAUUUUAUGGUAAGAAGAUAAUCGAGUCUAGUUUCAGAGAAAAUUAGAAGAUCCUAAUUUGGAGUUCUGUAGCUCAAGAUAAAAAUGAUUUAAUGACUAUGACACGGAUGGACAACUUUGAAUAAAUUUAUAAGUAAAUAGUGAAAUCAUAGAUAAUGUUACUUUUAAGCAUGUUAUAUAAAUUAAGGAUGUGGAACGGAGAGGAGGAGGAGGAAAAUAAAUAUAUAAAUAUUCUUUUAGCAUGGAUUUGCAUUAAAAAUAGUUAAUUUGCAUGAUUUGGUCUCAAGGACUAAAUUGAAUAAAAAGUAAAACUUUAGGGACAAUUUUGUAAAAAUAUAAUUUUUUAUUUAGUGAGUAUUUUAUUAUUAUUUAAGAUAAUAAUUUGUGAACCUAAAUUCGACUGCAUAAUUUAUUAUCACAUGUAGCUCAUAGAAUGGAUCAAACUAAUAGAGUGAAUUUUCUUUAAAAAUAAAUUAGUAGGGUGAAUAUAUUCCUUGAAAAAAUUUCAAAUAAAUUAGAAAUUUAAUUGUAAAAAAAUGAAAUUACUUUAUUAAUCCAUUAAUAACUCCAGCUUUGAGGCUAAAAUAUAACCGAAAUCGUUAAACUCAAAAUUCAAUAUCCCGUUAGAAAAUGAAAGUUUAAAAGUAAAAAAAGAUGCACAAAAUUUGACGGUUGAAUUGUAGGGGAUUAAUCCUUUAUUAUCCCCCGCUCAAUGACAUUAGAUUUUGAGGUCAUAUCAAAUAUUAUUAAAUGCUACUUUCUUCAAUCAUCCUCCACCCAUAUGCAGAAAUUUGGAUAGCUGUUCCAUUUCUAAUGCAGAAUUAUUCAUAUUUGCCAUCAUCCUUCUUCAAGCAUUGCUAAUAUUCAGCUCUGUAAUUCAUUAGGAAUAACGUAUGGUAAGAACUAUGUUUUGACUUAGCCUUAAUUAAUUGUUAGACUACCUUUAUUUACCAAAAAGAUUAUAUCCAUAUAUUUCUAGCCAGUUUGUGUAUUUUUCAUCUUUUCAGAAUAUAAGAUAAUUUGCAAUUAUAAAGCAAAAAAGAGAAUACUGCCUUUUUAUUGAAGGAUAAUAAAUUACAAGAAUAUCAAAUAUGAGUAGAGAAAAUGUGAACUUAACAUUGCCUUACAUAUUUUCACAGUGGAGCCUUUUAGGCAGAAUAUGGUCUUCCAAAAAAUAGUAGCAGCAAUUGCUUAUUGCCCCAACAUAAUAGAACCAUGCUUGUCUCCAGUAUGGAUUAAUGUAAAGCACACAUGCAAUACUCAGGAUUGCCAUAACAUAAGACACAACGAAAGUCACAAAAAAGGAAAUCAUAUCAAUCAAACCAUUUUCAGUCGAUGCUUUUGGCAAUAAAGAUGCUGAUGGUCCUGGUGUUGAGCAGUCCUUCAAUGGUUUACCGCAUAAAAGAGGAUUUCCCACAUAUCUGCUUUCGUCAAAUGUUGCAAACUGUGCAGUCCAUGCAGGUGUACUUCCAGAUAAAUUAUUGUAUGCCACACUGAAAUAAGACAACCUAUAUAACCCCACAAGUUGUGGAGGGAUUUUCCCGCUCAAGUUGUUGUGAGAAAGAUCGAGACUCUCAAUUUGCUUCAGAUUGGAAAACGCCGGUGGGAUUGGUCCUAUCAAAUUGUUGUGAGACAAAUUCAAAGCAUAAAUAUUUCGCAAGUUUUUCACUUCGCUGGGAAUUUCACCUGUCAACUUGUUGCAAGAGAGAUCAAUUCCAGAUAAAUAUGUGAGAAGAAUUCCCUUAUAAGAGUAAGACAUGCUUUUCACUGUGAACUCUAUCGGUUCAUCAAUGAAGAAAGAACUGGGAGCUUGAGCAAUAUCAGUGACAUAACGAGCAUAUUCUUGGGAUAUUUCAUUCAGUGCUGUAAUCUUCAGGCAAGGUGGAAUUGUACCUGAAAGAUUGUUAUUGGAAAGAUUAAUCAGGCUUAACUGGCCCAAAUUGCAUAACUGAAUUGGAAUCCCACCUUCAAAAUGGUUGUUAUUUAGCAAAAGAAAACUCAAUUGAGAAAGGUUGCCAAUCCAACGUGGAAUUUUCCCAGUUAAGUGAUUAUUGCUGAGAUCUAAUGUCACCAAGCUAGUGCUGUUAUGAAAAAUAUUUGUGAGUGCCCCUUCUAGCUUGUUUCUUGAUAAAUGAACUUGACUUAUCCAUAAAGGGCUGAAACAAGAUGGAAGACUCCCAGAAAUAUUGUUCACUGAAAGGUCUAGAAGUUUAAGAUCAUUAAGAUGGCAAAACUCCUUUGGGAAUGGACCUUCAAGAUGAUUGUUUGCCAUCACAAUUUCUUCCAAAUAUGACAUACUCCCCAUCCACCUUGGUAUGUCCCCAGAAAGCUCGUUAUUGCUUAAAUCCAAUGUUGACAAACUUGACAUAUUCUCCAUCCACCUUGGUAUCUCCCCAGAAAGCACGUUAUUGCUUAAAUCCAAUGUUGACAAAAAGGAGCAAUUAGACAAGGAAUCUGGGAUCUUCCCAGAGAAAUGAUUCCCAUCUAACUGCAACUCCUGCAACUUUGUAAGGUUAACAUUUGAAGAGAACAUCUGCCCUUGCAAUUUGUUGUUGGACAGUGCAAGGGAAGUUAAUGAAAAGCAGCCCAUGGUCAAAUGCUCAGGUAGCCCACCAGACAAUUGAUUAUUGGACAAGUCCAAGGCUUCUAAGAAAUUCAUAUCACCAAUCGAAGAGGGAAUGCUACCCCGAAAUAGAUUUUUUGACAUGUUCAGAAACAACAAUGAUGGUAGUUUUUCCCCAAUAUCAAUUGGAAGAUUGCUAUAGAAUGAAUUUUCUGAGACAUCCAAAUACGAUAAGUCCGUAUGUGGAAGGAAAGGUAACUUAAAAUGACCUAGGAGAGAGCUGUUAGCAAGAACUAACCUUUCCAAAUUUGUGUUGUUAUUCAACAACCAAUUUGGAAAUCCCUCUCUAAAGUUGUUGUUAGAGAGAUAAACUUGCCUUAAGUCAUGUUGAUGGAACAAAAUAUGAGGAAAUUGUCCAACAUAUCCACAACUAGAUAAACUGAUAAGGUUCAAUUGGAAUCUUGGGGCCAAAGGUUGCAUCUCACUUUCAAUGUAUAUGGUAUUGUUGUCCGCUUUGAAAUGCUUGAGUUUUGAAAGGUUGAAGAAGGGCUCCAAUGAGCUUGGGAUUUUGAAAUAAUUGUUUGAAAGUCUCAACUCUACGAGGGAUGUUAAAGACUUAAGGGCAGAUACAUCUCCAGAUAACUGAUUGGAAGAGAGAUCUAAACUCUCAAGAGAUGUGAAAUUGUAAAAACACUCUGGCAAAGUACCCUUCAGAUUAUUGUUGCUCAUAUCCAAGAGUCUGAGAUUUGUCAAGCUACAAAAACCUGCAAACAUAACAUUAAAUAAAUAAAUAGAGUGCCAUUCAAGGGAACCAAAAACAAUAAAACAAAUUAAUUAAAUAUAAUAUAUUCUAGUUGUAUUCGUUCCUUGCCUAAAAAAAGGGAACUUAUUGUAUGGGAAAGUAGGAUACUAAAAUGUUUCGUGUUUAUUCACCUUGGGUAUGUAAGGUGCCAUUGAGUCCACAACCCAUUAAGUUUAGUUGCUUGAUAGAAGGCAUUGCACCAAUUUUGUGAAGAAAGUUGUUUUCAAGGGAAGUAUCUCCUAUGUACAUGAAUUCCAAAUUCUGCAACUCAAGUGGAUCUAUUUCAAACAAAACCAAAGUUACAGAAAUUUAUGUAGAUAUGUUCCAAAUGGGAAAAAAAAUGUAUGCAAUUCAAUAUAUAUAAAGAGAAAGAGAGAGCUCCUUUAAGUUGAGUUUAUUAUUUUAACUUUAGUACUAUUUGGAGUUUUGGGAAAAAGUUAUUAGGGAGACAAAGUAAGUCGCAAAUUAUUGAAAAUUUUAGAAAAGAAAACAAUUUAUAAAAUAUUACUAUAAAAUUAUGAAAAAAAAAGAGAGAGAAAGAAACUGAGAAAUAUUAUUCUUUUACCCUCAAUUUUCUUUUUUAUAUUUAUUGAAAAUUUUAGGAAGCACAACAAUUUUAUAAAAUUAUCAAAAAAAAAAUCACUUUCUUUCUUCUUCUUCUUCUUUUUUUAGUAGUAUUUAUUAAAAAGUUAAAUAAUUUUAUCUCUUUUUGGUCAUCACAUCCUAUCAUAAGUUUUUUAAUGCUGGGAAAUGAAUUAAAAAAAGAAGAAGCAUGAAUCAACAAAUUUUUUAUUAAUAAUUAUAAACAGUUUUGCUCUUUUUUGGGUUUAAUAAAUACUAUUUCAAAAAUAGGCUUGUCAUGAAUAAUAUAUUUAUGGGAAAAAUCAUUCUUUGUAUAAAAAGAAAUGAUAAAUUGAAAGAUACUUACCAUUCAUGAAGAGGCUGUCACUGACGUUACACCCUUCCACGACCAAUCUUUUUAAAGAAGGUAGUGCUCCAAUGAAGUUAAAAGGGAGAGAUGAUUCCCAUAAUUCCAACUCUUCUAAAUUUGUCAAAUUUUGCAUGAAUUCCAAAUUCUGCAACUCAAGUGUAUCUAUUUCAAACAAAACCAAAGUUACAGAAAUUUAUGUAGAUAUGUUCCAAAUGGAAAAAAAGAAGAAAGUGUAUGCAAUUCAAUAUAUAUAAAAAGAAAGAGAGAGAUCCUUUAAGUUGAGUUUAUUAUUUUAGCUUUAGUAUUUGGAGUUUUGGGAAAAGAUUAUUAGGGAGACAAAGUGAGUCGCAAAUUAUUGAAAAUUUUAGAAAAGAAAACAAUUUUAUAAAAUAUUACUAUAAAAUUAUGAAAAAAGAGAGAGAAAGAAACUGAGAAAUAUUAUUCUUUUACCCUCAUUUUUCUUUUUUAUAUUUAUUGAAAAUUUUAGGAAGCACAACAAUUUUAUAAAAUUAUCAAAAAAAAAAUCACUUUCUUUCUUUCUUUUUUUUUGUAGUAUUUAUUAAAAAGUUAAAUAAUUUAUUGAAUUUUCGUCAUCACAUCCUAUCAUAAGUUUUUUAAUGCUGGGAAAUGAAUUAAAAAAAGAAGAAGCAUGAAUCAACAAAUUUUUUAUUAAUAAUUAUAAACAGUUUUGCUCUUUUUUUGGGUUUAAUAAAUACUAUUUCAAAAAUAGGCUUGUCAUGAAUAAUAUAUUUAUGGGGAAAAUCAUUCUUUGUAUAAAAAGAAAUGAUAAAUUGAAAGAUACUUACCAUUCAUGAAGAGGCUGUCACUGACGUUACACCUUUCCACGACCAAUCUUUUUAAAGAAGGUAGUGCUCCAAUGAAGUUAAAAGGGAGAGAUGAUUCCCAUAAUUCCAACUCUUCUAAAUUUGUCAAAUUUUGCAUGAAUUCCAAAUUCUGCAACUCAAGUGUAUCUAUUUCAAACAAAACCAAAGUUACAGAAAUUUACGUAGAUAUGUUCCAAAUGGAAAAAAAGAAGAAAGUGUAUGCAAUUCAAUAUAUAUAAAAAGAAAGAGAGAGAUCCUUUAAGUUGAGUUUAUUAUUUUAGCUUUAGUAUUUGGAGUUUUGGGAAAAGAUUAUUAGGGAGACAAAGUGAGUCGCAAAUUAUUGAAAAUUUUAGAAAAUAAAACAAUUUUAUAAAAUAUUACUAUAAAAUUAUGAAAAAAGAGAGAGAAAGAAACUGAGAAAUAUUAUUCUUUUACCCUCAUUUUUCUUUUUUAUAUUUAUUGAAAAUUUUAGGAAGCACAACAAUUUUAUAAAAUUAUCAAAAAAAAAAUCACUUUCUUUCUUUCUUUUUUUUUGUAGUAUUUAUUAAAAAGUUAAAUAAUUUAUUGAAUUUUCGUCAUCACAUCCUAUCAUAAGUUUUUUAAUGCUGGGAAAUGAAUUAAAAAAAGAAGAAGCAUGAAUCAACAAAUUUUUUAUUAAUAAUUAUAAACAGUUUUGCUCUUUUUUUGGGUUUAAUAAAUACUAUUUCAAAAAUAGGCUUGUCAUGAAUAAUAUAUUUAUGGGGAAAAUCAUUCUUUGUAUAAAAAGAAAUGAUAAAUUGAAAGAUACUUACCAUUCAUGAAGAGGCUGUCACUGACGUUACACCCUUCCACGACCAAUCUUUUUAAAGAAGGUAGUGCUCCAAUGAAGUUAAAAGGGAGAGAUGAUUCCCAUAAUUCCAACUCUUCUAAAUUUGUCAAAUUUCGCAAUUCUGUAACCACAAGUUAAAAUCCUCACACAAUGUUAUUAUUUCAUAUUUUAAAAUCAAUCAUUUUCAUCUUUUAGCAUUAAAAAUAUUAAAGCAAUAUUAAAAAUUUAAUACCAAAUAUACUAAAAUUAACAUUGUAAUGCUAAAUUCAAUGGAAAUAGAAGAGAACUAAUAAUUUGCGUGAAUGGAAUGAUGAAGCAUGCAUAAUUAGUAGGAGAUAUUAAUUUUAAACAUGAAUCAUAAAAUAAAAUGAUUCUUAUACGAGAGAAAUUGAAAGACUCAUUUUUUAAUUGAUUAAUUGUAAGAUUGCAACAUCAACUCUUCCAAGUUUGUAAAUUAUGCAAUUUAUUCCUUGAAUAAAAAAUAUUAAAAAAAAUAUGUACACGUGUGUUUUGUGAAGGUAGAAAAUUUUAAAAUAAUGUCAACAAAAUAAAUAUUUGUGUUAGUCUUAGGAAAUAGGGUUUGUAGAAAAACAUUAUAACUUACUGAUUCAGUAACGAGAGUUAUUAAAUUUAAAUCCUCCUAAAAAAAGAGUCUUCAAUGAUGGGAAUAAAAAUAAAAAUUGAAUGGUGAAUAGAUUAAUUUAUGUCAUAUUAUUUUUUUAUAUUCUUUUACAAGUGUUUUAAUAUCAAUUAGAAUUUUUUUAUUAUCACUAUAUUUUAAUCAUCAAAAUAUUAAACAUAUGUUAAUUAGUUAUUAUUUUGAAUAAUAUUAUUUUGUAUUAAUUACAUGGAGUAAAAUUAUAUUGUGUAUUGAUUAAAUUAAAAAAACUUUAAUUAUGAUUUCAAAAUUAUUUGUAUAAUAUUUAAUUUUUAAAUAAGUUAAUAUAUUUUAAUUAUAUUCAACAGUUUUGUAUAAGAAAUAUUAUUUUACAAUAAUUAAAAAUAUAAUAUUUAAAAAAUAACUAAAAAUUAAAUGUCUAAAAUCACAUUCAACAUAUGUGCCAUUAGAAACCAGUAUUUAUGUAAAUUAAUAUUAAGAAUUAAGAUACGUAAAAAAAAUAGUAACUUACUGAUUUGGGAAUGAGAAUCAAUUAAAUUAACUCUGUCCAAGAAAAGAGUCUUCAAUGAUGAGAAUAAAUCCAAUGAUUGUAGUUGAAGAUUGCAACCUGAGCCUAUCAAAUAGUAUAUUUAUAUUUACUUUAUUUCUUUGGAAUAUAUCAAAUUAAUCAAACUAACAAGUAAUUAGUACAUUUAAAUUAAAUUUGGAAUUAGUACCAAUAUUUGAAUAGCAGCCCAUAAAGAGGUCCUCCAAAUUGCUCAAGCCAUCUAAUUAUGGGGAGAAUCAAAAAUUGAAAAGUAAAUACUUUAUUAAUAUAUGUAGACGUCAUUGAAUAAGGAGAAAGAGGAUGAUAAUUUUACCUUUAAUAUCUAUUGUUCCUUCCAAAUUGGAGCGUCCUAAAGACAAAGUCUUUAGAUUUGAGAGUGUUCCGAGAGAUGACAAUAUGGUAUUGUUGAAGAGAUUGCCAUACAAAUGAAGCACUGUCAAAUUCAUCAACCUUAAACCUGCCUCAUUAUUACCAAGUAGCAUGUUCUUAAUUAUUUCACUUCCCAUUUAAUUAUACAUUUCAAAUAUAUUUUAGUGAAUUCUUUUUCGUCCAAUCUGUAAUAUAUUUUAUAUAAUUUAAAUAUAUCUAAAAGUAUUUAUAAAUUGAAUUCAAGUAAGAUCGAAAUACAAUGGAGCAAAAAAUUUAAACCUAAAAUUAUGUAAAACUCACAUUAUCAAAUCCUUCACUCUUUGACGUCUCUUGAUGCAUUUUUAAUUAAUUUUAUUUUUUAUACCCUAAUAUUAUAUCUUUCUUAUUAUUUUAUUCAUACCACCCUCACUCUAUAGCAUAUCUUUUAUUCAUUAUUCACAAAAUUUUAACUUCAUUAAGAGCAACAAAAUUAGUUAUUUCAAAAUAAUAAUAACAAAACUAGAAAAUAAAUAAAACUCAACGUUAAAAAUAAAUUUAAAAUACCUUGUGAUGGAACAAAUUCUGUCACUUUGUUGUUCCAUAAGAUCAACUCCUCUAAAUAGCUGAAAGCAUUUAGAUCUGAAAAAAGAAUUACAAAUAAUUCUAACAAUAAGUCAAAUUCAUAGAUUUAAUGCAUUGUUGGUUGGUUAAUCUUGUUCAACUUAUCCAGAAAAGGCCACAUCUUGAACAAAUUUAUUUUUAUUUUAUAAGAUUGGUCUUGUUUGGUAUAAAUCAUUGUUUUAAUAAUAAAAGUAAAUUUAUAUUUAUAUUUUAGGGUAAAUUAUUAAUAUAAAAUAUUUUUAAUAAUGUAUUAUACUAUUACUUUAAAUUUAUUAAAACAAGCUAUUUAAAUUAACUUGUAUCAUGGCUUAGCCAACUCCAUCCAUGAUGUAAAAAUAUUUGAAGUUUAAAAAAAAAAAAAAAAAAACUCUUUCCUCCUAAUAACAAGGUGAGCAGAGAGUUUUGGAUGAUAUACCUACUAUUCUUAAAUUGUUGCUGAAAUGUGAAAUAGUUAAUUCUUUCCUGAUUUAGUUUAUUUUAUACCUAUCAUACAAGUGUUUAGCAUCUUUUAAAAUUCAAAAAUAUUUUUUUCUCUCAAAAAUC